UGGGGAAUAUUGCGCAAUGGGGGAAACCCUGACGCAGCAAUGCCGCGUGAGUGAGGAAGGCCUUCGGGUUGUAAAGCUCUGUCAGAUAGGAAGAAACCCUCUUGGUCUAAUAGGCCUUGAGCUUGACGGUACUAUCAAAGGAAGCACCGGCUAACUUCGUGCCAGCAGCCGCGGUAAUACGAAGGGUGCAAGCGUUGUUCGGAUUUACUGGGCGUAAAGCGCGCGCAGGCGGAUUGUUAAGUCAGAUGUGAAAUCUCGGGGCUCAACCCCGAAACUGCGUCUGAAACUGAUAAUCUAGAGUAAUGGAGGGGAGAAGGGAAUUUCGCAUGUAGGGGUAAAAUCCGUAGAGA
rnacentral:rRNA from 1 species